rnacentral:rRNA from 1 species
GACGAACGCUGGCGGCGUGCUUAACACAUGCAAGUCGAACGAAGAGCGAUGGAAGCUUGCUUCUAUCAAUCUUAGUGGCGAACGGGUGAGUAACGCGUAAUCAACCUGCCCUUCAGAGGGGGACAACAGUUGGAAACGACUGCUAAUACCGCAUACGAUCCAAUCUCGGCAUCGGGACUGGAUGAAAGGUGGCCUCUAUUUAUAAGCUAUCACUGAAGGAGGGGAUUGCGUCUGAUUAGCUAGUUGGUGGGGUAACGGCCCACCAAGGCGAUGAUCAGUAGCCGGUCUGAGAGGAUGAACGGCCACAUUGGGACUGAGACACGGCCCAGACUCCUACGGGAGGCAGCAGUGGGGAAUCUUCCGCAAUGGACGAAAGUCUGACGGAGCAACGCCGCGUGAGUGAUGACGGCCUUCGGGUUGUAAAGCUCUGUUAAUCGGGACGAAUGGUUCUUGUGCGAAUAGUGCGAGGAUUUGACGGUACCGGAAUAGAAAGCCACGGCUAACUACGUG